rnacentral:rRNA from 1 species
GAUGAACGCUGGCGGCGUGCCUAACACAUGCAAGUCGAGCGAAGCGGGGACGGGUGAGGAACACGUGUAUACCCUCCUUUAAGACUGGGAUAACUUCGGGAACCCGGAGCUAGACCCGAUACUUAUAGAUGGUUCUGCGCUGCAUUAGCUAGGUGGUAAGGUAACGGCUUACCAAGGCAACGAUGCAUAGCCGACCUGAGAGGGUGAUCAGCCACACUGGAACUGAGACACGGUCCAGACUCCUACGGGAGGCAGCAGUGGGGAAUCUUGCGCAAUGGGCGAAAGCCUGACGGAGCAACGCCGCGUGAGUGAAGAAGGUCUUCGGAUCGUAAAACUCUGUUAUUAGGGAAGCGGUACCUAAUCAGAAAGCCACGGCUAACUACGUGCCAGCAGCCGCGGUAAUUC